rnacentral:lncRNA from 1 species
GCAAUAAAUGUCUUGUAAGUAGGUAUUAACUGUCUCCCACCUAUGAGCCCCAGAUAUCAAAAGCCUUAUUAGAAGUAGGAUGAGAGAGAAGGCAAUGACACUAUGCUUCAUACCAAAAAUACCAUAUACUUUGAGAGAAGGCAUACACCAUUACUGCCUUGGUAAGGAUCCAGAAAUACCACAAAAGAGAGACUAGAGAGAGUCAUACAAGGAAUCUCUGAGUUUUAUUUGAAAAUCUGUAAAAACUCUAGAGCUAUAGUUAAUCGAAGAACAAGAGACAUGGCGCUUGACUAGACCGUUCUAUCUUUUAACUACUCAAGACAGAAGUGACGGUUACAAGUCCCAUGGUGAAAGGUAAAAUGAGCAAGUUUAAAUCUUAACAGUUUACCCUAACCUAGAGAUGAGAUCCUUUUUGAACGCAUGUGUAUCUUUAAGGCAUGAAACCACUGCAGAAACUCUUGAGUUCAUCUUUGCUCAGGGACGAGCAAAGAUUAAGCUUGGAGGAGCUUGUUGACGGUCCUUAAUGCUCACAUUUAACCAUCAACUAAUCAUGGAAAAGGAUCCAAAUGCAACCAACACCCAGACUUAGGGUUUUAUCUGAUAGAAAUCCACG